rnacentral:lncRNA from 10 species
UAGCUGCCUGCUCAAACCUUCUAUAGUGGCUUUUUUUCCUGUCACAUGAGAUAAAAAAAAUCUUAUGAGCUGCUGCCAAGGGGUUGGUUAUGCUUCCUAGGGCUUCCGAUGAGAAAAAAUGUGGGAGAGCAUAAGUUGUUAGAAAGUUAACUGAAUCAAAUGCCUGGUUGCUUCAUUAUUCAGCUUAAAUAGUAAACUCAAGCUGUGUGACCUUCUGUGUGACAUGAACUAUUGCUUGAGGUUGGGGACGUGAAGAUGAACAACAGAAAGCCCUGUUCUUGAGGAGCUGCUAGUCUAGCGACAUGACACCCAGAUGGAAAAAUUGAGACCCAGG